UUACUCCUACGGGAGGCAGCAGUGGGGAAUUUUGGACAAUGGGGGCAACCCUGAUCCAGCCAUGCCGCGUGAGUGAAGAAGGCCUUCGGGUUGUAAAGCUCUUUCGGACGGAACGAAACGGUUAGCGUGAAUAACGCUGACUAAUGACGGUACCGUAAGAAGAAGCACCGGCUAACUACGUGCCAGCAGCCGCGGUAAUACGUAGGGUGCGAGCGUUAAUCGGAAUUACUGGGCGUAAAGCGUGCGCAGGCGGUUCGCCAAGUCAGGUGUGAAAUCCCCGGGCUUAACCUGGGAAUUGCGCUUGAAACUAGCGGGCUUGAGUGCGGCAGAGGGGGGUGGAAUUCCACGUGUAGCAGUGAAAUGCGUAGAGAUGUGGAGGAACACCGAUGGCGAAGGCAGCCCCCUGGGUCGACACUGACGCUCAUGCACGAAAGCGUGGGGAGCAAACAGGAUUAGAUACCCUGGUAGUCCACGCCCUAAACGAUGUCGACUAGGUGUUGGGGAAGGAGACUUCCUUAGUACCGCAGCUAACGCGUGAAGUCGACCGCCUGGGGAGUACGGUCGCAAGAUUAAAACUCAAAGGAAUUGACGG
rnacentral:rRNA from 1 species